UGUUAUGGCGGCUGUGCGCGGGAGACCUUCGGGUCUGCCGGGUUUGAUGGGAUUUCCGGUUUUCCAGACCGCGCAUGGCUGCCACCCUU
rnacentral:antisense_RNA from 1 species